UGUUUUUAUAGUUUAAAAAAAACACUACAUUUUCAAUGUAGAAUUGAGGUCCCCUCUUUAAA
rnacentral:tRNA from 1 species